rnacentral:rRNA from 1 species
CGUACACUCCUACGGGAGGCAGCAGUGGGGAAUUUUGGACAAUGGGCGAAAGCCUGAUCCAGCCAUGCCGCGUGCAGGAUGAAGGCCUUCGGGUUGUAAACUGCUUUUGUACGGAACGAAACGGCCUUUUCUAAUAAAGAGGGCUAAUGACGGUACCGUAAGAAUAAGCACCGGCUAACUACGUGCCAGCAGCCGCGGUAAUACGUAGGGUGCAAGCGUUAAUCGGAAUUACUGGGCGUAAAGCGUGCGCAGGCGGUUAUGUAAGACAGUUGUGAAAUCCCCGGGCUCAACCUGGGAACUGCAUCUGUGACUGCAUAGCUAGAGUACGGUAGAGGGGGAUGGAAUUCCGCGUGUAGCAGUGAAAUGCGUAGAUAUGCGGAGGAACACCGAUGGCGAAGGCAAUCCCCUGGACCUGUACUGAUGCUCAUGCACGGAAGCGUGGGGAGCAAACAGGAUUAGAUACCCUUGUAGUCCC